CUGCUCACUUUGGUAGCACAUAUACUAAAAUUGGAAUGAAACAGAAAAGACUGCCAUGGCCCCUGUGCAAGAAUGACAUGCAAAUUUGUGAAGUGCUCCAUAUUGUU
ensembl:snRNA U6 U6 spliceosomal RNA